rnacentral:rRNA from 1 species
CCCUUAGAUGUCCGGGGCCGCACGCGCGCUACACUGAAGGAAUCAGCGUGGCUUUCUCCCUGACCCGAAAGGGUUGGGAAACCCGUUGAAUCUCCUUCGUGAUAGGGAUUGGGGCUUGAAAUUGUUCCCCAUGAACGAGGAAUUCCUAGUAAGCACAAGUCAUCAGCUUGUGUUGAUUACGUCCCUGCCCUUUGUACACACCGCCCGUCGCUCCUACCGAUUGAAUGUUCCGGUGAGCUCUUCGGACUGCGCGGUCUGCAGUUUCUGCGUUCCGUGCGGAAAGUUGUGCAAACCUUAACAUUUAGAGGAAGGAGAAGUCGUAACA